AGCUGUGUGAACGCUCACGGUCUAGCUCCUCCUCUCAAUUAAUGAUUUUGAGAAACGUCUGCAAUUAUGACAUUCAAGGAGAGGGAUCGCCGUCGAUAGUAUCAACGGUGGAGAGAACGAAGACGAACCGGAGAAGAAAAGUGAAGAAGAGCAGAGAGUAAAACAUCAUCUGAUACGAGAAUCUUCUAGAACCCACCUUCUUUUUUAUGAACUCUCUCAAUCCUUUCCCCGUGACCACCGUCACAUGUCUUAAGCUCGGAGAUAUAUGCAGCUGCAUCUCUCUGUAUUGUUUGAUUAUUCAAAAGGGUCUAUGUCAUUCACCUAACCUUGCUUUGUGUUUAGGUUACUAAUGGCAGAUCGUAUAUGAUUUCCCGUUGUUCAUUUUGUCUCAGGUGAUUUGGCAAGGAAGCGCCCAAGACUCACGGUUAACAGAUGAGAGCUAAGAAACAGAGGAUGUCGACCAUUGACACCAGAAGAGAUUGAUUCAUUCCUUUUACCUCCAGGGUCUUGAAGAAAACAACACGGGCUGAAGCAUUAAGCAUAGAAACAAGGGGUUAUUGUUUAUUUCUUCAACUCUAUGACUAUGUUCUUUACUGAACGAUAUUGGAUUCAAAAGGGUAAUCUGUAUAAACACAGAAAAUAUACUUCUAUCACAGCCUAAUUGGCGCGAACAAGCCCUUAGUCGUGCGGAUACUUCAAUCCGAAGUGGUUCGGUUGAUGUUAUUGUUGCUGACAGUGUAAUUUAGGAGCACUUGAGUAUAAGAUGGGUGAUGCUCAUAUGAUUAUCCAAGCCGCUACGUGUCUUGAACUUCAAAGCAUGGUAGUAUUGAAAAGAAAAGGCUCGCCAAGGUAAUAAAGAAAACAGUAAAAACUCGAGGAAGAGACAGUCACUAACCAAUCUCAGAGUCAGUACGUUAGAGCAGAUACCAGAUUAUGAAAGAGUGUUUUGUGGAGAAGAUAGCCGGAGUCAUUGUAGAAUUUGUAAUCAGCGGAUGAUAACACAUCGUGGUCUGGUUUAAAAGAAGCUAAAUGAGAAACUAUCUAUACCAAAGUUAUAUUAUUUUCUUGGAAAUGAAGUGUGUGAACCUUCGAACAGGCGUGGAGAUUCUGCAGAUGAGGAGAGUAAGAGGAACUCUGCAAGUGAUGGGCCAGCGAAAGCUAAGCGCCCAAGAUGUGAGAAGUAGAGCUCCUAUUCAUCUUCUCACUUAUUGCAUGCUUCAAUGAUGUUUAAGUCUUUUUUCGGUUUAAGUAUUGACUUAUGAUUUCCUUUCAGUUUUUUGCUGUUCAGUGUUUUUUUUCCUUAAAACAUUUUAUCUACUUUGCAUGAUUAGCAGCUAAAAAUCACGUUUACUGUUUUAUCA